UUUGAAGUUCACAAAGUUUUCUCUAAUUAUAAGCUUUUGAGUUAUACAGAAAAAUGAAAAUAAAGAAGGCACAAAUUUCACCUCCCAUUUACCAAAAGAAGUUAUAGACCAAGCAAUCAACAACCAGCUUUAAUCUUUUAUUCAAGAACAAUGUACAACACAUGCGAGAUAUCAGCAUGUACUUAUUUUUCAUUUUUAUUCUUUUUUCUAGAGGAAAAAAGUUUAGGAAAUAUAAACUUACAAAACAUGGAUGGCCUGGCUUCAUAAUACCCUUAAUUCAUCUAGAUGAAAGCCAAGGGUUUGGUGCAAUGUAGGUGUAUCCUUGGAAAUGUCCACCAGCUGUUGGUGUGGCAGCAGGUGAGUCAUCAGGAGGCAUUGUCGUCCAACACUGGUCAAAAUUUGCAGUACAAUCUUUUCCACUCACAUCUGGUUUAAACUUUGGCUGCAAUUCUCUUGCCUCUAACUUCUUCCAGUUGAUUGAACCAAACCAUUUAUGACUUUUGACCUCAUCCCCUCCACCAGGACCACUGCCUAGCCUUCUUGAUGGUUCCUUCUGCAGCAAUCCUUUGAGCAAAGAGUGAGCUUCAGUGCUAAGGUAUGGUGGAAGUUUUACUUUCUCUUUGAUAAUUCUCUCCUGAAGUUUCUUUCUAUCUUUGUGUGUAAAUGGAGGCUGUAGAUGUUUACAUAUAUUAAGAUCAUUUUCAGAACCCAUGUCAAAUCUAGGUAUCGAAAAUAGCACCGACUUGUUACAUAACAGGAGAGGGGAGUAGGCUAAAGCAAAACCCUCACCAAUCACUGUGAACUCCUUCAAGCAAAAAAGAAAAUGCCUCUAACUAGACUUUAAUGCUCAACAGUAAGGCUACGUAUUACCUGCCCAGUUAGCAUUUCAUACAAGAGUAUUCCAACACUCCACCAAUCAGCAUCUUUGUUGUGGCCUUUAGACUGUUAAAUUUCUGGAGCCAUGUAUUCUGUGGUCCCACACAUUGAAUUGGAUCUAAUUGAUUCAUCAAUUUCCUUUGCCGGUCCAAAAUCAGUUAGCAUAACCUGAAUGACAAAUAUAUCUUUUAGGAACUGAACCAUUAACCAAAUAUAAGUAUCUAAAAAUUGAAAUAUGUAAUGUAAUGAGUUUCAUAAAUACUGCCACAGAAUGGAGGGCAUGGGCAUGGGCAUGGGCAUGGCUAUUACAUGUCCUUCACAAUCCAUGAGAAUAUUUUCAGGUUUAAGAUACCGAUGCAAAAUCCCGGUCUUGUGAAGAUGUGAAACAGCAGAUACUAUCUCAGCAGUAUAAACCCUUGCCUGAUCCUCACUACUCAAGACAUACCAAAAGUCAAAACUAAAAUAGGAGAAUAUACAUCAUGAUAAGAAGUCUAAAAAUUAGCACAUAUGAUAACUGAAAAUUCCCUGCCGAUAAAGAUGAAAGAAGAGAUGACCUCCGUUUAUAAAAUCCAGGAUCAAAUAAAGCUUAGCCUUGGUCUGAAAAGUCAAGAAGACAGUCUAAUUUUAGUAAUUCAUAGUGAAAUCACUUCUAUUCCAUAGGGAAAUAAACAAUAAAGUAUACACCUACCCACAUCAGCAACACAUUCAGAAAUGUUGAGUGACUUGUGUCAAUGACUGUGAGAACUAUCUAGAUUCAUAUGAGAUUGAUCAACCCUUGUACCAUUAAGUUGCUCAUGUAAACUAGCAAUUUGAUUACAGUUAUGAUGUUUUCCCUGCUCGUAUUACAGUUGGAUAAUAUGGCCCACUAACAUUGCUAUAUUUAUUGAGAAAUAUUCAAGCUAAACGAGGCUAUCAUUCUAUAGAAAGUCAAAAAAAAAAAAAAAUCCUUGAAAAAGAGAAAGAGAAACACCCACAACAUUAAUCAUAAAAAAAGGAUAAUUUUAAAAACCAAAUGGAGACAAAAGGCAAAAUAAAGAAAAGCAAUAAUUUAUCAAGUAGGUCUCAAUUCGAAACAAAGUUGGGUUGAAAGGCCUAAACGACUUUUACAGACAACAAUAAUGUUCUAUUGGAAUGGCAUUAAUGCUCUUCAAAGUGUUGCUACCUAUAAAGCGUUCUUCUUAGUGGAGAAAUUUUCGUGUGAAUUCAACUACAACAAGCUUUAAUUCCAAAAUGCAUUUACAUUGCCGGAUUAGAGCAAAGCAAACACCUUUUUCCUUCAUGGAUCAUCCACAUUAAGAAACACAUUUUAUACCACAACAAAAAUAAAGAGAAGGAGAGAGUAAAAAGAACCUGGAAAGCGUAACGAAGCUGAACAAUAAAGGGAUGCACGACUUUGGCAAGGAUAUCCCUCUCAGCCUUCAUGUAAUCGACAUGAUUCUUUUUUAUGACAUCACUUUCAUUGCAUAAAUCCCAUCACCAUCCGCACAAUCACUCCCUUUCUUUCUCACUUGAAACACCUUACCAAAGGCUCCCUGUCCAACAACUCUCAGGAUCUCAAAAUCACCAGGGCCAAUCUUACUACGCACUUGCUCACUCUUCCCCUUCUCGUCUUCCCCCUCAAUAAUAACCUCAUUUUCAUUUUCGAGUUCCUCUUCAUGGAUUUGGAAAGGGAGGGAAGAGGAGAGGGAUAGCGAGGGGAAGGACCCACGAAGGAGUGGGACCGGUUGUGAAUGACAAGUGGGUCCCCUACAAAAGCAGAGGAGGAAGAAGACGAAGUGGAUGUAGAAGGAGAUUGCAAUUGGUUUGGGUGUGGGGUCAGUGGGCCAAAAACAUCAGAGAAGUCGAAGUGAGAGGUGGGGUUGGGCGGCGUUAUUGUGAGCUUUUUGAGGUUGCUGGGAAACACAGACUGAAGGUUUUUCUUCUGAGAAUUGGAAACCAUUUUCAAUCCAAUUCCAAUACAUACAGAGCAGAGAAAUUAAUAGAAAAUAGAAAGGAAGAAGAGCCAGCCAAGAAUUUUGGAUCGAGGCGUGCCGUGAAAGCUGAGAUUACAUCUUAAAAGGAAGGAAGCUUAGACAGUUAAACCAUUACCGGAGAAGAGAAGAGCAGACAAUAACGC
rnacentral:misc_RNA from 1 species